GGAAAUACUAAACUUUAGAAGAUGCACCUGAUCUACAAACACAUAACUACUCAAAACUUAUUGCAGAUAUACAUACACACAAAAGCACAAUAUAUAUACUUCAUUAUACAAUUAAGUGGUUUAUAGGAGAUAUAAACUAGAUGGUGAUAAUAAGACCAUAAAAGCUUCGGUAGAAUACAAAGCUUCAAUCUUAUGACAAUCUCACAACCUCUUGAACUCCUUAGAUUGGACAUCAACCUCAAAGAUCCCAC
rnacentral:lncRNA from 1 species